rnacentral:rRNA from 1 species
UACGUAGGGGGCAAGCGUUGUCCGGAAUCAUUGGGCGUAAAGAGCGUGUAGGCGGCCCGGUAAGUCCGCUGUGAAAGUCCAGGGCUCAACCCUGGGAUGCCGGUGGAUACUGUCGGGCUCGAGUCCGGAAGAGGAGUGUGGAAUUCCGUGGUGUAGCGGUGAAAUGCGCAGAUAUCAGGAGGAACACCAAUGGCGAAGGCAGCACUCUGGGACGUGACUGACGCUGAGACGCGAAAGCGUGGGGAGCAAACA